ACUCCUACGGGAGGCAGCAGUGGGGAAUAUUGCACAAUGGGGGAACCCUAGAUGCAGCCAUGCCGCGUGUGUGAAGAAGGCCUUCGGGUUGUAAAAGCACUUUCAGUAGGGAGGAAGGUAGUGUGUUAACAACCUGCAUUAUUUGACGUUACCUACAGAAGAAGCACCGGCUAACUCCGUGCCAGCAGCCGCGGUAAUACGGAGGGUGCGAGCGUUAAUCGGAAUUACUGGGCGUAAAGCGCAUGCAGGCGGCCUGUUAAGUCAGAUGUGAAAGCCCGGGGCUUAACCUCGGAAUUGCAUUUGAAACUGGCAGGCUAGAGUCUUGUAGAGGGGGGUAGAAUUUCAGGUGUAGCGGUGAAAUGCGUAGAGAUCUGAAGGAAUACCGGUGGCGAAGGCGGCCCCGUGGCACAGAUACUGACACUCAGAUGCG
rnacentral:rRNA from 1 species